rnacentral:rRNA from 1 species
AUGGCACUGUCGGGGAUGUUCUCCUCGCAGUCGCUCAGUCGCGUGAACAACAUCAGAACCUCUCUGGUGAACGCGCAAAAGGGCAACAAGACCGUCGCCACCUACUUCGCCGAGAUGCGCGGCUUCGAAGAUGAACUGGCCGCCGCCGGGAAGCCGCUCCAGGACGAUGAACUCGUCUCCUACAUCCUCCACGGCCUCGACAUGGACUACCAGCCGCUCGUCUCCGCCCUCGACGCCUGCACCUCCCCGGUAUCCCUCGAUGAGCUCUUUUCCAUGCUAAGUAAUUUUGAUCAGAGGGUGGCACAGUACCAGGGAUCAGACGGCUUCAAGUCGUCAGCUAACGCAGCGAUGCGUGGGCGCGGUGGCUACUCCCGUCAUCGUGGCCCGCCUCGCUCCAAGGGCAAGCAAGGAGGCGGCAGCAGCAACGGCGGGUUCAACUCCCGCGGACGGGCCAACUCCACCAACACCAGGGGUCGCUGCGGCGGGUCCUCCAGAUCGCGCCCGGACGCGGUUCACUGCCAGAUAUGCGGCAAACCGGGCCACACAGCGAAGGACUGCUGGUACCGGUUCGAUGAGGAUGAGGCCUCGUCAGAAGAUGAAGAAAAGAUCGCUGCUGCUGCUGAUGGCUCGUACGGUGUCGAUACCAACUGGUAUCUUGACAGCGGCGCGACAAACCAUCUCACCGGCGAACUAGAGAAAGUAACGCUCAAGGAAAAAUAUCAUGGCAAAGACCAAAUCCACACCGCAAGCGGUGCAGGUCAUGAGGAAAACUCUCUAUCGAGGUAG